GACGAACGCUGGCGGCGUGCUUAACACAUGCAAGUCGAACGGAAAGGCCCUGCUUUUGUGGGGUGCUCGAGUGGCGAACGGGUGAGUAACACGUGAGUAACCUGCCCUUGACUUUGGGAUAACUUCAGGAAACUGGGGCUAAUACCGGAUAGGAGCUCCUGCUGCAUGGUGGGGGCUGGAAAGUUUCGGCGGUUGGGGAUGGACUCGCGGCUUAUCAGCUUGUUGGUGGGGUAGUGGCUUACCAAGGCUUUGACGGGUAGCCGGCCUGAGAGGGUGACCGGCCACGUUGGGACUGAGAUACGGCGCAGACUCCUACGGGAGGCAGCAGUGGGGAAUAUUGCACAAUGGGCGGAAGCCUGAUGCAGCAACGCCGCGUGCGGGAUGACGGCCUUCGGGUUGUAAACCGCUUUCGCCUGUGACGAAGCGUGAGUGACGGUAAUGGGUAAAGAAGCACCGGCUAACUACGUG
rnacentral:rRNA from 1 species